AAAAAAUACAUGUCGUUUUUCUU
rnacentral:snRNA from 1 species